rnacentral:rRNA from 1 species
UACGUAGGGGGCAAGCGUUGGUCCGGAUUUAUUGGGCGUAAAGAGCGUGUAGGCGGCCAGGUAGGUGGGUUGUGAAAACUGGAGGCUCAACCUUCAGACGUCGACCCAAACCCCUGGCUAGCAGUCCGGAAGAGGAGAGUGGAAUUCCGUGGUGUAGGCGGUGAAAUGCGCAGAUAAUCAGGAAGAACACCCGUGGCGAAGGCGGCUCUCUGGGACGGUACUGACGCUGAGACGCGAAAGCGUGGGAGCGAACAGG